GUAUGAUAUAAGUGUGCAUGAGUGUACGCGUGUGUGAGGAGCUGGAGCGCGCGCAUGUGAUCAUGGUACCAUGAAGAAAACAAGAAACGAGGGUGGAUGCUGGAUGAAUGAGAUCACAUAAAUUCUCGACAGUCUAGUGUUUGGUUUGGAACGAAAUGCGACUUGACCGAGUCAAACCAAUCCUGGAUUCGGAUCCAGCAACUCCAAAAACAGUGACGCCAAUCCUAUUUGAAACAAGACGGGUGGAUCUACGUCAGGCAGACCCUCCCCCCCUCUGUUCGAGAAAAAAGAAUGUGAUGAGAAAAAAAAGAACAAGAGCGAUUAUCAAAAUGAUGGCAAUGAUAAAUUUCUACGUGAAAACACAUUCGAAAUAAUAUAAAUGUUUAUAUGACUUAAAAGUGAUCUAAAAAUCUAAAAAUAAUUAAAAUUAAUAU